UCUUGGUCAUUUAGAGGAAGUAAAAGUCGUAACAAGGUUUCCGUAGGUGAACCUGCGGAAGGAUCAUUAUAAAUACUUUGGGAUACCAUUGUGUAUUCCUGAACACAAACCUCUCUGCGUAUUACCCCAUGUUGCUUCCACAGGUUAAGCUAUCAUGGUGGCACCUGUGGGAGAUCUUCACAUUAACAGAGUACUUGAUUAUGCUGUCUGAGCUGGCCAUGUGUCAGAUUUACUGAAGUAAAAACUUUCAACAACGGAUCUCUUGGCUCUCGCAUCGAUGAAGAACGCAGCGAAAUGCGAUAGGUAAUGUGAAUUGCAGAAUUCAGUGAAUCAUCGAAUCUUUGAACGCACAUUGCGCCCUUUGGUAUUCCUUAGGGCAUGCCUGUUCGAGCGUCACUACACACCUUAUCACAAUAUUUGUGGUCUUGGCAGGAGUGAAUUGCUGGUCUAUGGAAGUAUUCCAGCAGUACACAAUGCUAAAAAAUAUGGGAAGGUUACCAGAUAUGAACAACAGACUUUGUAAAUGGUUGUAGGACCUAGAUCAGUCACAAGUCAUGUCUGGUCCCUUACCUUAAGGACCCCCCAUCCUAGAUGAACUAUGGGUUGACCUCGGAUCAGGUAGGAAUACCCGCUGAACUUAAGCAUAUCAAUAAGCGGAGGAA
rnacentral:sRNA from 1 species